rnacentral:lncRNA from 1 species
UUUGUCCCCAGGGUCUUGGACCUCACUCUGAUAACCAUUGCUGCAUGUGUGGUUAUGCAGGUGCGUUUUGUGUCUGUCAGAGAAUCCUGUGCUCUAGUAGCACCAGUGUGACUCACUGCUGACUUCUUCCCUGGGAAGCCCAGGGUACUAGGUGAUGGCGGCUUUGCACCUGUCUGCCCUGCCCCAGGUGAGCAUCCAUUUUUCCUGAGAGGUCUGAAAUCUCCACAUAGGGCUU